rnacentral:rRNA from 1 species
CGGGUGAGUAACACGUAUCCAACCUGCCGUCUACUCUUGGACAGCCUUCUGAAAGGAAGAUUAAUACAAGAUGGCAUCAUGAGUUCACAUGUUCACAUGAUUAAAGGUAUUCCGGUAGACGAUGGGGAUGCGUUCCAUUAGAUAGUGGGCGGGGUAACGGCCCACCUAGUCUUCGAUGGAUAGGGGUUCUGAGAGGAAGGUCCCCCACAUUGGAACUGAGACACGGUCCAA